UAGUGGAGCAGUACCGUGAGGGAAAGGUGAAAAGAACCCCGGGAGGGGAGUGAAAUAGUACCUGAAACCUUGUGCUUACAAGCAGUUACAGCCCGUUAAAGGGUGGUAGCGUACUUUUUGUAGAACGGUCCGGCGAGUUAUAGUCACUAGCGAGCUUAAGACAUUCAGUGUUGGAGGCGUAGGGAAACCGAGUCUGAACAGGGCGAAUGAAGUUAGUGGCCAUAGACCCGAAACCAUGUGACCUAGCCAUGAGCAGGAUGAAGUGGAGGUAAAGCUCCAUGGAGGUUCGAACGCACGUUCGUUGCAAUGACCGGCGAUGACUUGUGGCUAGCGGUGAAAUUCCAAUCGAACUUGGAGAUAGCUGGUUCUCCCCGAAAUAGCUUUAGGGCUAGCGUUGGGAAUGAGUUUAGCGGAGGUAAAGCACUGAAUGAGCUAGGGGGCGCAAGCUUACUGAACUCUAUCAAACUAAGAAUGCCGCAUAAAUGCUUCCCAGCAGUCAGACUGCGAGUAAUAAAAUCCGUGGUCAAAAGGGUAACAGCCCAGACCCACAGCUAAGGUCCCCAAUACAUGCUAAGUGGAAAACGAUGUGAGAUUGCAUAAACAACCAGGAUGUUGGCUUAGAGGCAGCCACUCGUUCAAAGAGUGCGUAAUAGCUCACUGGUCGAGUGAUCUUGCGCGGAAAAUUUAACGGGGCUAAGCAUGUAACCGAAGCUUGGGAUUGCGCAAUGCGCAGUGGUAGGGGAGCGUCGUGUACGGGGUGAAGUACGAUCGAGAGGACGUGUGGACUGUACACGAGUGAGAAUGCCGGAAUGAGUAGCGAGAAUUAUGUGGGAAUCAUAAUGGCCGAAAAUCUAAGGUUUCUUGGGGAAGGUUCGUCCGCCCAAGGUAAGCCGGGAGCUAAGGCGAGGCCGAAAGGCGUAGUCGAUGCACAUACGGUUGAAAUUCCGUAGCCACCUUAUCGAUCAAAGCUGACACAUGGAGAUAGCCGAACCCGGGCGUUGGUUGACCCGGGCGAAAGGGACCGAACUACAGUAGGGAAGUCGGCGAUGCUCUGUGGCGAGAAAAGGCGAAGAUAGGGUGCCCGUACCGCAAACCGACACAGGUAGAUGAGGAGAGAAUCCUAAGGCCAACGGGAGAAGGGUUGUUAAGGAACUCGGCAAAUUGACCCCGUAACUUCGGGAUAAGGGGAGCCUCCUACGGGAGGCCGCAGUGAAUAGGCCCAAGCAACUGUUUACCAAAAACACAGGUCUCUGCUAAAUCGAAAGAUGACGUAUAGGGGCUGACGCCUGCCCGGUGCUGGAAGGUUAAGAGGAGGACUUAGCGCAAGCGAAGGUCUGAAUUUAAGCCCCAGUAAACGGCGGCCGUAACUAUAACGGUCCUAAGGUAGCGAAAUUCCUUGUCAGGUAAGUUCUGACCCGCACGAAUGGCGUAACGAUUUGGGCACUGUCUCAACAGCCCGCCCGGCGAAAUUGUAGUACCGGUGAAGAUGCCGGUUACCCGCAACUAGACGGAAAGACCCCAUGGAGCUUUACUGCAGCUUAAUACUGAGAUUCGGUAAUUCAUGUACAGGAUAGGUGGGAGACUUAGAAGCAGAGUCGUUAGGCGCUGUGGAGUCACCCUUGGGAUACCACCCUUGGAUUGCUGGGUUUCUAACCUGCGGCCAUGAAUCUGGUCGGGGGACACUGUUAGGCGGGCAGUUUGACUGGGGCGGUCGCCUCCUAAAGUGUAGCGGAGGCGCUCAAAGCUUGGCUCAGCAUGGAUGGAAAUCAUGCAAUGAGUGUAAACGUAUAAGCCAAGUUGACUGCGAGACCGACGGGUCGAGCAGGUACGAAAGUAGGAGUUAGUGAUCCGG
rnacentral:rRNA from 1 species